AGCAGCCGCGGUAAUUCCAGCUCCAAUAGCGUAUAUUAAAGUUGUUGCAGUUAAAAAAGCUCGUAGUUGAAUUUCGGGGUUAGUAGGUUGGUUAUGCCUCUGGUAUGUACUGGUCUCACCGAUUCCUCCUUCCUGAUGAUCCGUAAUGCCAUUUAUUUGGUGUUGCGGGGAAUUUGGACUGUUACUUUAGAAAAAAUUAGAGUUGUUUAAAGCAAGCUAACGCUUGAAUACAUUAGCAUGGAAUAAUAG
rnacentral:rRNA from 1 species